UACAGAGGGUGCGAGCGUUGUCCGGAAUUACUGGGCGUAAAGCGCGCGCAGGCGGCCUUUUAAGUCUGCUGGUGAAAUGCCGGGGCUCAACCCCGUGCCCGCCACAGAUACUGGGAGGCUGGAGACGAGUAGAGGCAAGCGGAAUUCCGGGUGUAGUGGUGAAAUGCGUAGAGAUCCGGAGGAACACCAGUGGCGAAGGCGACACGCUGGGCCGUACCUGACGCUAAAGCGCGACAGCAUGGGGAGCAAACGGG
rnacentral:rRNA from 1 species